rnacentral:rRNA from 1 species
CCAGAGACAGGUGCUGCAUGGCUGUCGUCAGCUCGUGCCGUGAGGUGUUGGGUUAAGUCCCGCAACGAACGCAACCCCUAUUCUCAGUUGCCAGCACAUAAUGGUGGGCACUCUGUGGAGACUGCCCGGGUUAACCGGGAGGAAGUGGGAUGACGUCAAGUCAUCAUGGCCCUUACGCCUAGGGCUACACACGUACUACAAUGGUGGGUACAAAGGGCAGCGAAACCGCGAGGUCGAGCGAAUCUCAAAAAACCCAUCAUAGUCCGGAUUGCAGUCUGCAACUCGACUGCAUGAAGUUGGAAUCGCUAGUAAUCCCGGAUCAGCAUGCCGGGGUGAAUACGUUCCCGGGCCUU